AUUGAACGCUGGCGGCAUGCCUUACACAUGCAAGUCGAACGGUAACAGGUUAAGCUGACGAGUGGCGAACGGGUGAGUAAUGUAUCGGAACGUGCCUAGUCGUGGGGGAUAACGUAGCGAAAGCUACGCUAAUACCGCAUACGAUCCAUGGAUGAAAGCGGGGGACCUUCGGGCCUCGCGCGAUUAGAGCGGCCGAUAUCAGAUUAGGUAGUUGGUGGGGUAAAGGCCCACCAAGCCGACGAUCUGUAGCUGGUCUGAGAGGACGACCAGCCACACUGGGACUGAGACACGGCCCAGACUCCUACGGGAGGCAGCAGUGGGGAAUUUUGGACAAUGGGCGCAAGCCUGAUCCGGCAAUGCCGCGUGCAGGAUGAAGGCCUUCGGGUUGUAAACUGCUUUUGUACGGAGCGAAAAGGCUCUCUCUAAUACAGGGGGCUCAUGACGGUACCGUAAGAAUAAGCACCGGCUAACUACGUG
rnacentral:rRNA from 1 species